rnacentral:rRNA from 1 species
GACGAACGCUGGCGGCGUGCCUAAUACAUGCAAGUCGAACGAACUCUGGUAUUGAUUGGUGCUUGCAUCAUGAUUUACAUUUGAGUGAGUGGCGAACUGGUGAGUAACACGUGGGAAACCUGCCCAGAAGCGGGGGAUAACACCUGGAAACAGAUGCUAAUACCGCAUAACAACUUGGACCGCAUGGUCCGAGCUUGAAAGAUGGCUUCGGCUAUCACUUUUGGAUGGUCCCGCGGCGUAUUAGCUAGAUGGUGGGGUAACGGCUCACCAUGGCAAUGAUACGUAGCCGACCUGAGAGGGUAAACGGCCACAUUGGGACUGAGACACGGCCCAAACUCCUACGGGAGGCAGCAGUAGGGAAUCUUCCACAAUGGACGAAAGCCUGAUGGAGCAACGCCGCGUGAGUGAAGAAGGGUUUCGGCUCGUAAAACUCUGUUGUUAAAGAAGAACAUAUCUGAGAGUAACUGUUCAGGUAUUGACGGUAUUUAACCAGAAAGCCACGGCUAACUACGUGCCAGCAGCCGCGGUAAUACGUAGGUGGCAAGCGUUGUCCGGAUUUAUUGGGCGUAAAGCGAGCGCAGGCGGUUUUUUAAGUCUGAUGUGAAAGCCUUCGGCUCAACCGAAGAAGUGCAUCGGAAACUGGGAAACUUGAGUGCAGAAGAGGACAGUGGAACUCCAUGUGUAGCGGUGAGAUGCGUAGAUAUAUGGAAGAACACCAGUGGCGAAGGCGGCUGUCUGGUCUGUAACUGACGCUGAGGCUCGAAAGUAUGGGUAGCAAACAGGAUUAGAUACCCUGGUAGUCCAUACCGUAAACGAUGAAUGCUAAGUGUUGGAGGGUUUCCGCCCUUCAGUGCUGCAGCUAACGCAUUAAGCAUUCCGCCUGGGGAGUACGGCCGCAAGGCUGAAACUCAAAGGAAUUGACGGGGGCCCGCACAAGCGGUGGAGCAUGUGGUUUAAUUCGAAGCUACGCGAAGAACCUUACCAGGUCUUGACAUACUAUGCAAAUCUAAGAGAUUAGACGUUCCCUUCGGGGACAUGGAUACAGGUGGUGCAUGGUUGUCGUCAGCUCGUGUCGUGAGAUGUUGGGUUAAGUCCCGCAACGAGCGCAACCCUUAUUAUCAGUUGCCAGCAUUAAGUUGGGCACUCUGGUGAGACUGCCGGUGACAAACCGGAGGAAGGUGGGGAUGACGUCAAAUCAUCAUGCCCCUUAUGACCUGGGCUACACACGUGCUACAAUGGAUGGUACAACGAGUUGCGAACUCGCGAGAGUAAGCUAAUCUCUUAAAGCCAUUCUCAGUUCGGAUUGUAGGCUGCAACUCGCCUACAUGAAGUCGGAAUCGCUAGUAAUCGCGGAUCAGCAUGCCGCGGUGAAUACGUUCCCGGGCCUUGUACACACCGCCCGUCACACCAUGAGAGUUUGUAACACCCAAAGUCGGUGGGGUAACCUUUUAGGAACCAGCCGCCUAAGGUGGGACAGAUGAUUAGGGUG